AGGACUUCCCAGGAGGUCACCCAUCCUAGUACUACUCUUGCCCAAAUGGGUUUCAUACCCAAAAGACUGGCUAGUUUUUACGUUGGCUCGUCAAGCCUAUCACAACCCUUAGAUAUGAAACCCUUUCACGAGGACUUCCUAGGAGGUCACCCAUCCUAGUACUAUUCUCGCUCAAAUGGGUUUCAUACCUAUGGGACUGGCUAGUUUUUACGUUGGCUCGCCAAGCCUAUCACAACCCUCCUCCUUUACCCGGGCUUGGGACCGGCUAUGCCUAGAAGAC
rnacentral:rRNA from 1 species